GCUAACCCUAGCCCUAUAAAUAUUAGACUCAACUAUUCUCAUCAAUCAACUAAAACAUUCAAACUAAAGCAGUAUUGGAGAAAGAAACUAAAUUUAAGGAGCUAUAGAGACAGUACCGUAAGGGAAAGAUGAAAGAAAUGUUUAAAGCACAUAAAAGCAAAGAUUAAAUCUUGUACCUUUUGCAUAAUGAACUAACUAGAAAACACCUAACUAAAAGAAUUUAAGCUAGGAACCCCGAAACUAAACGAGCUACCUAAGAGCAAUUUUAAGGAUGAACCCGUCUAUGUAGCAAAAUAGUGGGAAGACUUCUAGGUAGAGGUGAAAAGCCAAACGAGUUUAGUGAUAGCUGGUUACCCAAAAAAGAAUUUCAGUUCUACUUUAAGAUUACCCUAAGAAAACCAAAUCAAAAUGUAAUCUUAAAAUAUAGCCUAAAGAGGGACAGCUCUUUAGGCUAAGGAGAAAACCUUAAAUAGUGAGUAAGCCAAAAAAACAGACCAUAGUUGGCUUUAAAGCAGCCACCAAUAAAGAAAGCGUUCAAGCUCAACACUAAGAACCUUACAAUACCUAAAACUUAAAACGACCUCCUAUUUAAAAAUUGGGUCAAUCUAUUUGUUUAUAGAUGAGACAAUGUUAGUAUGAGUAACAAGAAUUUUUUUUCUCCGAGCACAAGCCUAUAACAACCCGGAUAACCAUUGCUAGUUAACAUAUAUAAGUUUACCAUCACAAUGUAAAACUCACUUUUCACUUAAUGUUAACCCAACACAGGUGUGCUUAAAGGAAAGAUUAAAAGAAGUAAAAGGAACUAGGCAAACAAGAAUCCCGCCUGUUUACCAAAAACAUCACCUCUAGCAUUACAAGUAUUAGAGGCAAUGCCUGCCCAGUGACAUUAGUUUAACGGCCGCGGUAUCCUGACCGUGCAAAGGUAGCAUAAUCACUUGUUCCUUAAUUAGGGACUAGAAUGAAUGGCUUAACGAGGAUUCAACUGUCUCUUACUUCUAAUCAGUGAAAUUGACCUUCCCGUGAAGAGGCGGGAAUACUCUAAUAAGACGAGAAGACCCUAUGGAGCUUUAAUCCCAUAGCUUAACCAAAUAAUAUAAACCGACCUACUGGUAAUAAAACAUUUAAAGCAUAAGCUCUGGAUUUUGGUUGGGGUGACCUCGGAGAAUAAAAAAUCCUCCGAAUGACUAUAGCCUAGACACACAAGUCGAAGCAUUAACUGUCCAAUUGACCCAAAAACAUUUGAUCAACGGACUAAGUUACCCUAGGGAUAACAGCGCAAUCCUAUUCAAGAGUCCAUAUCGACAAUUAGGGUUUACGACCUCGAUGUUGGAUCAGGACAUCCCAAUGGUGUAGAAGCUAUUAAAGGUUCGUUUGUUCAACGAUUAAAGUCCUACGUGAUCUGAGUUCAGACCGGAGCAAUCCAGGUCGGUUUCUAUCUAUUAACAAUUUCUCCCAGUACGAAAGGACAAGAGAAAUGGAGCCCCCUUAACAAAAGCGCUCCAAACUAAUUAAUGAAACUAUCUAAAUUAUAGUAAGUAUGUACACUUUACCCCUAGAACAGGGGAU